GGUCCUCAGCUCAGUGGUAGAGCACCUGCUUUGCAUGCAGGUGGUCUCAGAUUCAAUCCCCAGCAUGACCA